CUUUUAUUUGGGAAGAAACCCACGAUUUCUAUUGUGGUUGACGGUACCAGAUGAAUAAGCACCGGCUAACUCCGUGCCAGCAGCCGCGGUAAUACGGAGGGUGCAAGCGUUAUCCGGAUUCACUGGGUUUAAAGGGUGCGUAGGCGGGUUGGUAAGUCCGUGGUGAAAUCUCCAAGCUUAACUUGGAAACUGCCGUGGAUACUCUCANUCUUGAAUAUCGUGGAGGUGAGCGGAAUAUGUCAUGUAGCGGUGAAAUGCUUAGAUAUGACAUAGAACACCGAUUGCGAAGGCAGCUCGCUACACNGUUAUUGACGCUGAGGCACGAAAGCGUGGGGAUCAAACAGGAUUAGAUACCCUGGUAGUCCACGCCCUAAACGAUGAUUACUCGACNUCAGCGAUACACUGUUGGUGUCUGAGCGAAAGCAUUAAGUAAUCCACCUGGGAAGUACGACCGCAAGGUUGAAACUCAAAGGAAUUGACGGA
rnacentral:rRNA from 1 species